rnacentral:rRNA from 1 species
UAGCCGUAAACGAUACUCGCUAGGUGUCGGCCACGGUGCGACCGUUGUCGGUGCCGUAGGGAAGCCGUGAAGCGAGCCACCUGGGAAGUACGGCCGCAAGGCUGAAACUUAAAGGAAUUGGCGGGGGGAGCACCACAACGGGUGGAGCUUGCGGUUUAAUUGGAUUCAACGCCGGAAAUCUUACCGGGACCGACAGCAACAUGAAGGCCAGGCUGAAGACUUUGCCGGAUUAGCUGAGAGGAGGUGCAUGGCGUAGUCG